GAACUUAAGCAUAUCAAUAAGCGGAGGAAAAGAAACCAACAGGGAUUGCCUCAGUAACGGCGAGUGAAGCGGCAUAAGCUCAAAUUUGAAAUCUGGCUCUUUCAGGGUCCGAGUUGUAAUUUGUAGAAGAUGUUUCGGGUGUGGCCCCGGUCUAAGUUCCUUGGAACAGGACGUCAUAGAGGGUGAGAAUCCCGUAUGUGACUGGGUGCCUAUGCCCAUGUGAAACUCUUUCGACGAGUCGAGUUGUUUGGGAAUGCAGCUCAAAAUGGGUGGUAAAUUUCAUCUAAAGCUAAAUAUUGGCCAGAGACCGAUAGCGCACAAGUAGAGUGAUCGAAAGAUGAAAAGCACUUUGGAAAGAGAGUUAAACAGUACGUGAAAUUGUUGAAAGGGAAGCGCUUGCAAUCAGACUUGCGCCUGGGCGAUCAUCCGGGGUUCUCCCCGGUGCACUCGUUCAGGCUCAGGCCAGCAUCGGUUUCUGUGGUGGGAUAAAGGCCCUAGGAAUGUGGCCCCUCUCGGGGGGUGUUAUAGCCUAGGGUGCAAUGCCGCCUACGGGGACCGAGGACCGCGCUUCGGCUAGGAUGCUGGCGUAAUGGUUGUAAGCGACCCGUCUUGAAACACGGACCAAGGAGUCUAACAUCUAUGCGAGUGUUUGGGUGUCAAACCCAUACGCGUAAUGAAAGUGAACGGAGGUGAGAACCCUUAAGGGUGCAUCAUCGACCGAUCCUGAUGUCUUCGGAUGGAUUUGAGUAAGAGCAUAGCUGUUGGGACCCGAAA
rnacentral:rRNA from 1 species